UGGGGAAUAUUGGACAAUGGGCGAAAGCCUGAUCCAGCCAUGCCGCGUGUGUGAAGAAGGUCUUCGGAUUGUAAAGCACUUUAAGUUGGGAGGAAGGGCAGUAAGCGAAUACCUUGCUGUUUUGACGUUACCGACAGAAUAAGCACCGGCUAACUCUGUGCCAGCAGCCGCGGUAAUACAGAGGGUGCAAGCGUUAAUCGGAAUUACUGGGCGUAAAGCGCGCGUAGGUGGUUCGUUAAGUUGAAUGUGAAAGCCCCGGGCUCAACCUGGGAACUGCAUCCAAAACUGGCGAGCUAGAGUAUGGCAGAGGGUGGUGGAAUUUCCUGUGUAGCGGUGAAAUGCGUAGAUAUAUGAAGGAACACCAGUGGCGAAGGCGACCACCUGGGCUCAUACUGACACUGAGGUGCGAAAGCGUGGGGAGCAAACAGG
rnacentral:rRNA from 1 species